AGCUCCAGUUGGUUAGAGCGCACGCCUGAUAAGCGUGAGGUCGGCAGUUCAAAUCUGCCUCGGCCCACCACGCCCCUGCGUAUCCGGGGCGCGUUCAGUUACGGGGCCUUAGCUCAGCUGGGAGAGCAUCUGCUUUGCAAGCAGAGGGUCAUCGGUUCGAUCCCGAUAGGCUCCACCAUUGUUUCUGGUCUGGCUUCGCUAUGGAAGUUUGAUCCAAUAGCGUCGCCCUAGAGCCGGGCGUCCUUGGUGGUAAGCGUCAGUGACCGCUUCGAGCGUGGUUGCGGUCGCGCGGUGUAUCAGUUGAAGACCAAGAUUGAGAGAAACAACAGUUUCCGCAUGCACCGCAUGCGGAAUUCCUAUCGUGAAGAAGGGUUGCUUCGUUACGGAUCGGUGAUGGCCACAUACAGCCUAGAUCUGGCGAGCAAUGCGAGAGUCAAAUGUCUAACGCUCAUGCGUAGACGGCCCGCCCGCACGGCGGAUCGUUCGACGCGCAUGAGCUUUGCUGACGAUCAAGCGUAAUAAGGGCGUUCAGGGAAUGCCUUGGCAGACGCAGGCGAUGAAGGACGUGGCAUGCUGCGAAAAGCUUCGGGGAGGUGCAAGCACCCUUUGAUCCGAAGAUGU
rnacentral:misc_RNA from 1 species